rnacentral:rRNA from 1 species
AACGAACGCUGGCGGCAGGCUUAACACAUGCAAGUCGAGCGCCCCGCAAGGGGAGCGGCAGACGGGUGAGUAACGCGUGGGAACAUACCCUUUCCUGCGGAAUAGCUCCGGGAAACUGGAAUUAAUACCGCAUACGCCCUACGGGGGAAAGAUUUAUCGGGGAAGGAUUGGCCCGCGUUGGAUUAGCUAGUUGGUGGGGUAAAGGCCUACCAAGGCGACGAUCCAUAGCUGGUCUGAGAGGAUGAUCAGCCACAUUGGGACUGAGACACGGCCCAAACUCCUACGGGAGGCAGCAGUGGGGAAUAUUGGACAAUGGGCGCAAGCCUGAUCCAGCCAUGCCGCGUGAGUGAUGAAGGCCUUAGGGUUGUAAAGCUCUUUCACCGGAGAAGAUAAUGACGGUAUCCGGAGAAGAAGCCCCGGCUAACUUCGUGCCAGCAGCCGCGGUAACAC